rnacentral:rRNA from 1 species
GACGAGGGAUCCUAGCGUUGCUCGGAAUUAUUGGGCGUAAAGCGGGUGUAGGUGGCUUGGUAAGUCGGGUGUGAAAGCCCAGGGCUCAACCCUGGAAGUGCAUUCGAUACUGCUGAGCUUGAGUGCGAGAGAGGUUAAUAGAAUACCUGGUGUAGUGGUGAAAUACGUAGAUAUCAGGUGGAACACCGGAGGCGAAGGCGGUUAACUGGCUCGACACUGACACUGAGACCCGAAAGCGUGGGGAUCAAACAGG